GUUAAGCGACUAAGCGUACACGGUGGAUGCCCUGGCAGUCAGAGGCGAUGAAGGACGUGCUAAUCUGCGAUAAGCGUCGGUAAGGUGAUAUGAACCGUUAUAACCGGCGAUUUCCGAAUGGGGAAACCCAGUGUGAUUCGUCACACUAUCAUUAACUGAAUCCAUAGGUUAAUGAGGCGAACCGGGGGAACUGAAACAUCUAAGUACCCCGAGGAAAAGAAAUCAACCGAGAUUCCCCCAGUAGCGGCGAGCGAACGGGGAGCAGCCCAGAGCCUGAAUCAGUGUGUGUGUUAGUGGAAGCGUCUGGAAAGGCGCGCGAUACAGGGUGACAGCCCCGUACA
rnacentral:rRNA from 1 species